AAGCAGCGGAGCGUGUGGUUUAAUUCGAUUGCUACACGAGAACUUACCAGGUUUGACAUGCAAGUGGUAGGAAACUGAAAAGGGACCGACCCUUCGGGGAGCUUGCACAGGUGCUGCAUGGCUGUCGUCAGCUCGUGUCGUGAGAUGUUCGGUUAAGUCCGCUAACGAGCGCAACCCUCACUGUGUGUUAUAUGUGUCACACGGGACUGCCGGUUUUAAGCCGGAGGAAGGUGGGAUGACGUCAAGUCAGCAUGGCCUUUAUAUCCUGGGCUACACACACGCUACAAUGGUCGGUACAAUAGGUUGCCAAGCCGCGAGGCGGAGCCAAUCCAAAAAAGCCGGCCUCAGUUCAGAUUGUAGGCUGCAACUCGCCUGCAUGAAGAUGGAGUUGCUAGUAACCGCAGGUCAGCAAUACUGCGGUGAAUACGUUCCCGGGUCUU
rnacentral:rRNA from 1 species